rnacentral:rRNA from 2 species
CCUGUUCCCAUGCCGAACACAGAAGUUAAGCUCCUUAGCGUCGAUGGUAGUCGAACUUACGUUCCGCUAGAGUAGAACGUUGCCAGGC